ensembl:misc_RNA Metazoa_SRP Metazoan signal recognition particle RNA
GCCAGGUGUGGUGGUGCACACCUGUAGUCCCAGCUACUCGGGAGGCAGAGGUGGGAGGAUUGCUUGUGCUCAGGAGGUCAAGACUGCAGUGAGCUAUGAUUACGCCACUGCACUCCAGCCUGAGUGACAGAGUGAGACCUUGUCUGUC